rnacentral:rRNA from 1 species
UACGAGGGGGGCAAGCGUUGUUCGGAUUCACUGGGCGUAAAGGGUGCGUAGGCGGUCGGGUAAGUCUGACGUGAAAUCUCCGGGCCUAACCCGGAAACUGCGUCGGAUACUAUCCGGCUAGAGGAUUGGAAGGGAGACUGGAAUACUUGGUGUAGCAGUGAAAUGCGUAGAUAUCAAGUGGAACACCAGUGGCGAAGGCGAGUCUCUGGACAAUUCCUGACGCUGAGGCACGAAAGCCAGGGGAGCAAACGGG